GGGGAAACCCAGUGUGUUUCGACACACUAUCAUUAACUGAAUCCAUAGGUUAAUGAGGCGAACCGGGGGAACUGAAACAUCUAAGUACCCCGAGGAAAAGAAAUCAACCGAGAUUCCCCCAGUAGCGGCGAGCGAACGGGGAGGAGCCCAGAGCCUGAAUCAGUGUGUGUGUUAGUGGAAGCGUCUGGAAAGGCGCGCGAUACAGGGUGACAGCCCCGUACACAAAAAUGCACAUACUGUGAGCUCGAUGAGUAGGGCGGGACACGUGGUAUCCUGUCUGAAUAUGGGGGGACCAUCCUCCAAGGCUAAAUACUCCUGACUGACCGAUAGUGAACCAGUACCGUGAGGGAAAGGCGAAAAGAACCCCGGCGAGGGGAGUGAAAAAGAACCUGAAACCGUGUACGUACAAGCAGUGGGAGCACGCUUAGGCGUGUGACUGCGUACCUUUUGUAUAAUGGGUCAGCGACUUAUAUUCUGUAGCAAGGUUAACCGAAUAGGGGAGCCGAAGGGAAACCGAGUCUUAACUGGGCGUUAAGUUGCAGGGUAUAGACCCGAAACCCGGUGAUCUAGCCAUGGGCAGGUUGAAGGUUGGGUAACACUAACUGGAGGACCGAACCGACUAAUGUUGAAAAAUUAGCGGAUGACUUGUGGCUGGGGGUGAAAGGCCAAUCAAACCGGGAGAUAGCUGGUUCUCCCCGAAAGCUAUUUAGGUAGCGCCUCGUGAAUUCAUCUCCGGGGGUAGAGCACUGUUUCGGCAAGGGGGUCAUCCCGACUUACCAACCCGAUGCAAACUGCGAAUACCGGAGAAUGUUAUCACGGGAGACACACGGCGGGUGCUAACGUCCGUCGUGAAGAGGGAAACAACCCAGACCGCCAGCUAAGGUCCCAAAGUCAUGGUUAAGUGGGAAACGAUGUGGGAAGGCCCAGACAGCCAGGAUGUUGGCUUAGAAGCAGCCAUCAUUUAAAGAAAGCGUAAUAGCUCACUGGUCGAGUCGGCCUGCGCGGAAGAUGUAACGGGGCUAAACCAUGCACCGAAGCUGCGGCAGCGACGCUUAUGCGUUGUUGGGUAGGGGAGCGUUCUGUAAGCCUGCGAAGGUGUGCUGUGAGGCAUGCUGGAGGUAUCAGAAGUGCGAAUGCUGACAUAAGUAACGAUAAAGCGGGUGAAAAGCCCGCUCGCCGGAAGACCAAGGGUUCCUGUCCAACGUUAAUCGGGGCAGGGUGAGUCGACCCCUAAGGCGAGGCCGAAAGGCGUAGUCGAUGGGAAACAGGUUAAUAUUCCUGUACUUGGUGUUACUGCGAAGGGGGGACGGAGAAGGCUAUGUUGGCCGGGCGACGGUUGUCCCGGUUUAAGCGUGUAGGCUGGUUUUCCAGGCAAAUCCGGAAAAUCAAGGCUGAGGCGUGAUGACGAGGCACUACGGUGCUGAAGCAACAAAUGCCCUGCUUCCAGGAAAAGCCUCUAAGCAUCAGGUAACAUCAAAUCGUACCCCAAACCGACACAGGUGGUCAGGUAGAGAAUACCAAGGCGCUUGAGAGAACUCGGGUGAAGGAACUAGGCAAAAUGGUGCCGUAACUUCGGGAGAAGGCACGCUGAUAUGUAGGUGAAGUCCCUCGCGGAUGGAGCUGAAAUCAGUCGAAGAUACCAGCUGGCUGCAACUGUUUAUUAAAAACACAGCACUGUGCAAACACGAAAGUGGACGUAUACGGUGUGACGCCUGCCCGGUGCCGGAAGGUUAAUUGAUGGGGUUAGCGGUAACGCGAAGCUCUUGAUCGAAGCCCCGGUAAACGGCGGCCGUAACUAUAACGGUCCUAAGGUAGCGAAAUUCCUUGUCGGGUAAGUUCCGACCUGCACGAAUGGCGUAAUGAUGGCCAGGCUGUCUCCACCCGAGACUCAGUGAAAUUGAACUCGCUGUGAAGAUGCAGUGUACCCGCGGCAAGACGGAAAGACCCCGUGAACCUUUACUAUAGCUUGACACUGAACAUUGAGCCUUGAUGUGUAGGAUAGGUGGGAGGCUUUGAAGUGUGGACGCCAGUCUGCAUGGAGCCGACCUUGAAAUACCACCCUUUAAUGUUUGAUGUUCUAACGUUGACCCGUAAUCCGGGUUGCGGACAGUGUCUGGUGGGUAGUUUGACUGGGGCGGUCUCCUCCUAAAGAGUAACGGAGGAGCACGAAGGUUGGCUAAUCCUGGUCGGACAUCAGGAGGUUAGUGCAAUGGCAUAAGCCAGCUUGACUGCGAGCGUGACGGCGCGAGCAGGUGCGAAAGCAGGUCAUAGUGAUCCGGUGGUUCUGAAUGGAAGGGCCAUCGCUCAACGGAUAAAAGGUACUCCGGGGAUAACAGGCUGAUACCGCCCAAGAGUUCAUAUCGACGGCGGUGUUUGGCACCUCGAUGUCGGCUCAUCACAUCCUGGGGCUGAAGUAGGUCCCAAGGGUAUGGCUGUUCGCCAUUUAAAGUGGUACGCGAGCUGGGUUUAGAACGUCGUGAGACAGUUCGGUCCCUAUCUGCCGUGGGCGCUGGAGAACUGAGGGGGGCUGCUCCUAGUACGAGAGGACCGGAGUGGACGCAUCACUGGUGUUCGGGUUGUCAUGCCAAUGGCACUGCCCGGUAGCUAAAUGCGGAAGAGAUAAGUGCUGAAAGCAUCUAAGCACGAAACUUGCCCCGAGAUGAGUUCUCCCUGACUCCUUGAGAGUCCUGAAGGAACGUUGAAGACGACGACGUUGAUAGGCCGGGUGUGUAAGCGCAGCGAUGCGUUGAGCUAACCGGUACUAAUGAACCGUGAGG
rnacentral:rRNA from 1 species